AAAUUAUCCUCAUAAGUUAGACGAUAAGAGGUACCAUCUAUUAUUUCAAAUCAACUAGCUUGGCUAGAAAUAUAGGUGGUGGCACAAAAUCGGAGGCCCCGACUGUUUACUAAAAACACAACACAGUGCAAUCAUUAAUGUGAUAGUAUACUGUGUGAAAUUUGCCCAAUGCCAUUAAUAUAAAAGCGGUCAUAUAAAAAUGUGACUAAUUGAAAAUCUGGUUAAUAGCGGUCUUAACCAUGAGGAUCCUAAGGUAGCAAAAUAAAUUGGCCAUUAAAUGUGGUCCGGUAUCAAUAAUGUAACGAUGGCCUCACUGUCUCUACAACUUGCUCAGUGAAAUUGAAUUACGCGUGCAGAUGCGCGUUACCUCCAGUGGGACGGGAAGACCCUAUGCAGCUUCU
rnacentral:rRNA from 1 species